GAAUUGUUCGCAAUGGGCGAAAGCCUGACGACGCAACGCCGCGUGGAGGAUGAAGAUCUUCGGGUCGUAAACUCCUUUCGAUCGGGACGAAUGGCCGGCGGUCUAAUACAUCGCCGGAGUGACGGUACCGAGAGAAGAAGCCCCGGCUAACUCCGUGCCAUCAGCCGCGGUAAUACGGGGGGGGCAAGCGUUGUUCGGAAUUACUGGGCGUAAAGGGCGCGUAGGCGGCCUGCUAAGUCGGAUGUGAAAUCCCCCGGCUCAACCGGGGAACUGCAUCCGAUACUGGCGGGCUCGAAUCCGGGAGAGGGAUGUGGAAUUCCAGGUGUAGCGGUGAAAUGCGUAGAUAUCUGGAGGAACACCGGUGGCGAAGGCGGCAUCCUGGACCGGCAUUGACGCUGAGGCGCGAAAGCCAGGGGAGCAAACGG
rnacentral:rRNA from 1 species